CCCCAUCUCAAGGUCAGCUGCAUCGAACACUCCGGGCUGGCUCAAUUCCUUUCUACGCCUGCCAAGAAAAUCUAAGUGGAUAAUGAUGCUGACCAACCUAUGGGCCGUGGGCAACACAGGAAGUCAGUGGGCCCACAAAAAGCUGGGCACCACGUGUUACAGUUGGGAAAUGAAUCUUCAGUGACAGAACCCACAGAGGAAAACACCCAAACCUGACCCUCCCUUUAACCUUGCGAGCGCUAUCACUCAGUCAGAUACCACCACUGUUUCCUGAGGACUAAGAGAGAUGGCUCUUUGCCUGAUGGAGCUGUGAGGACGAUGAUGGGAAACGGGCAUGCUGGCAUCGGAGUUUUUCUGGAU